GCCAUGUCAGCUAGUGUAUUGGGGCUCCACGGAUAACAGACUUCAAAGUACCACGAUUAACGAUUACGUUAAAAGACAAACCAGGCGUAAAUGACAACAAGCUGCGUGUCUAAGACUACUUCAUACUGAAGCUGUGACUCCAUGGUCACCUGGUCGACUUCCUCUUCUAAUCGCGCUCGCUCAGAGGUCAGAGGCAGCAGCUGAAGAAGUUCUGCACAUGCACACGGUCACAUGCUGCACCAGGCUUUCCAGGGGAAAGGUAACCCGAGUAAGCCCGCGCUGUCUAAACUUGGUCUGCUUGAGAUGCUAGACCAAUGAUAAAGCCCAAGCGCGGUCACCCGAUGUAGACCAGCCAAGCAGAACUGCCAUCCCACCCCCCCUCCUCCAACACGCUGCUAUUUUAAAACCACACCGAACGGAAAACACGGUGACGUGGAGAAAUGUUUCAUCUGCUGUAGAGUGCCAGUGGAGGCAAACCACACACAACACGAAGCAUAUCAACAGUUGUCUUCAGAACCUUUAGGGAACCUUCGGAACCUUUAAACCGAGGGUCUGAUUGGCUGGCAGGAUGUCCGCCAUGUCUGUGUUUCUGGGAAAGCGGACAGAGGAAGAUCUUGCUUACUUUAUUCCUGUAUUUAAAAGUUACUAGAGAGUUUUGAGAGUUAGUGCUGGGUGAACAUCUCGCUCACCAAGGUGCCAUGGGGAAAAACCUACGGUUCUUCAAAGUCAGAGAAUCUUAGCGGUGUUUAUUGACAAAACAUAACUCCAUCAUGAACCCUUUUGGGGGGUCAGAUUUAAGGCCAAAAAGAUAUCACUCAAGAGAAAUGAGUAAAAAAUGAAAUAAAAAGA